UACAGAGGGUGCAAGCGUUAAUCGGAAUUAUUGGGCGUAAAGCGCACGUAGGUGGCUUGUUAAGUCUGAUGUGAAAGCCCUGGGCUUAACCUGGGAAUUGCGUUGGAAACUGACAAGCUAGAGUCGGAGAGAGGGCCGUGGAAUUUCCGGUGUAGCAGUGAAAUGCGUAGAGAUCGGAAAGAACACCCGUGGCGAAGGCGGCGGCCUGGUUCCAGACUGACACUGAGGUGCGAAAGCAUGGGGAGCAAAC
rnacentral:rRNA from 1 species